UUUUUUAGUUUUUUUUUUAUGUGAUA
rnacentral:sRNA from 1 species